rnacentral:snRNA from 1 species
GGAGAUGAGGGCUAUCCAGCUGUGGUAUUGCCACCCCUUUGAUCAUCAGGCUUGAUGUGGCUGAUCUGCCUGGCUAAGUAGGGGUCCCCUUCCUCCCUCACUGCCCGUGUGUGCCUCUUUCAAGCUGCACUCAAUUGAAGAGGACAGCCUUUCCUAACAGAAGAAGACCACUCUUUGGUCAAGGGUGUAUGUGAAUCUGAGUUCUCCUGCCAGAACCUCUAAAGAAGCUCUCCAGGUAAGUGCCCUACCCCUGACUUAAGAGCUAUAGCCCCCUAGAAUAGCAAGCGAGCAGUAUUUUCUUCAUUUGGUAGAUCCGGAAGACCAAGAAAAGGUGUCUCC